rnacentral:rRNA from 1 species
UUUGAUCCUGGCUCAGGACGAACGCUGGCGGCGCGCUUAACACAUGCAAGUCGAGCGACGAAAGGUCCUUCGGGACCCUGAAAGCGGCGAACGGGUGAGUAACACGUGGGUAACCCACCCUCGGUUUCGGGAUAGCCCGGGGAAACCCGGAUUAAUACCGAAUGGWCUCCCAGGCUCUCGGGCCUGGGAGAAAAGGUAGCUUCGGCCUCCGACCGAGGACGGGCCCGCGGCCGAUUAGCUUGUUGGCGGGGUAACAGCCCACCAAGGCGACGAUCGGUAGCUGGUCUGAGAGGACGAUCAGCCACACUGGGACUGAGACACGGCCCAGACUCCUACGGGAGGCAGCAGUGGGGAAUCUUGCGCAAUGGGCGAAAGCCUGACGCAGCGACGCCGCGUGCGGGAAGAAGGCCUUCGGGUUGUAAACCGCUUUCAGGAGGGACGAAGCCACUCGGGUUAAUAGCCCAGAGGGUGACGGUACCUUCAGAAGAAGCCCCGGCUAACUACGUGCCAGCAGCCGCGGUAAUACGUAGGGGGCUAGCGUUGUCCGGAUUUAUUGGGCGUAAAGAGCGUGUAGGCGGCCAGGUAGGUCUGGUGUGAAAACUGGAGGCUCAACCUCCAGCUGUCACUGGAAACCAUCUGGCUAGAGUCCGGAAGAGGAGAGUGGAAUUCCUGGUGUAGCGGUGAAAUGCGCAGAUAUCAGGAAGAACACCUAUGGCGAAGGCAGCUCUCUGGGACGGUACUGACGCUGAGACGCGAAAGCGUGGGGAGCGAACAGGAUUAGAUACCCUGGUAGUCCACGCCGUAAACGAUGGGUGCUAGUGUGGGCGGUGUCGACUCCGUCCGUGCCGAAGCUAACGCAUUAAGCACCCCGCCUGGGGAGUACGGCCGCAAGCUAAAACUCAAAGGAAUUGACGGG